rnacentral:rRNA from 1 species
AGAGUUUGAUCCUGGCUCAGGAUGAACGCUAGCGGCAGGCUUAACACAUGCAAGUCGAGGGGUAUAGUAGCAAUACUAGAGACCGGCGCACGGGUGCGUAACGCGUAUGCAAUCUACCUUUUACAAAGGGAUAGCCCAGAGAAAUUUGGAUUAAUACCUUAUAGUAUAUUUGAACGGCAUCGUUUAAAUAUUAAAGAUUUAUCGGUAAAAGAUGAGCAUGCGUCCCAUUAGCUAGUUGGUAUGGUAACGGCAUACCAAGGCUACGAUGGGUAGGGGUCCUGAGAGGGAGAUCCCCCACACUGGUACUGAGACACGGACCAGACUCCUACGGGAGGCAGCAGUGAGGAAUAUUGGUCAAUGGGCGCAAGCCUGAACCAGCCAUGCCGCGUGCAGGAAGACGGUCCUAUGGAUUGUAAACUGCUUUUAUACGAGAAGAAACACUACCUUGCGAGGUAGCUUGACGGUAUCGUAAGAAUAAGGAUCGGCUAACUCCGUGCCAGCAGCCGCGGUAAUACGGAGGGUACUAGCGUUAAUCGGAAUUAUUGGGCGUAAAGAGUUUGUAGGCGGUAUAGUAAGUCAAGUAUAAAAUCUUUAAGCUUAACUUAAAAUAUGUAUUUGAUACUACUUUAACUUUGAGUUUAUUAGAGGGUUGUGGAAUUUUCAGUGUAGCAGUGAAAUGCGUAGAUAUUGAAAGGAACAUCAAUGGCGAAGGCAGCAACCUGGGUAUAAACUGACGCUAAAGAACGAAAGCAUGGGUAGCAAACAGGAUUAGAUACCCUGGUAGUCCAUGCUGUAAACGAUGAUUGCUAGAUGUUGGUAUAAAAUAUUUAUAUUAGUAUCUGAGCUAACGCAUUAAGCAAUCCGCCUGAGUAGUACGGUCGCAAGAUUAAAACUCAAAGAAAUUGACGGGGACCCGCACAAGCGGUGGAGCAUGUGGUUUAAUUCGAUACAACGCGAAGAACCUUACCAGGGUUUGACAUGAUACGAA